CCUACGGGCGGCAGCAGUGGGGAAUAUUGGACAAUGGGGGCAACCCUGAUCCAGCCAUGCCGCGUGUGUGAAGAAGGCCCUCGGGUUGUAAAGCACUUUCAGUGAGGAAGAACGCCUGGUGGUUAAUACCCAUCAGGAAAGACAUCACUCACAGAAGAAGCACCGGCUAACUCCGUGCCAGCAGCCGCGGUAAUACGGAGGGUGCGAGCGUUAAUCGGAAUUACUGGGCGUAAAGCGCGCGUAGGUGGCUUGAUAAGCCGGUUGUGAAAGCCCCGGGCUCAACCUGGGAACGGCAUCCGGAACUGUCAAGCUAGAGUGCAGGAGAGGAAGGUAGAAUUCCCGGUGUAGCGGUGAAAUGCGUAGAGAUCGGGAGGAAUACCAGUGGCGAAGGCGGCCUUCUGGACUGACACUGACACUGAGGUGCGAAAGCUUGGGUAGCAAACAGGAUUAGAUACCCUUGUAGUC
rnacentral:rRNA from 1 species